GGAUUAGAUACCCUGGUAGUCCACGCCGUAAACGAUGAGUGCUAGAUAUCGGGAAUUAAAUUUUCGGUUUCGCAGCUAACGCAUUAAGCACUCCGCCUGGGGACUACGAUCGCAAGAUUAAAACUCAAAGGAAUUGACGGGGGCUCGCACAAGUGGUGGAGCAUGCGGUUUAAUUCGAUGCUACGCGAAAAACCUUACCAACCCUUGACAUGGUGGUCGCGAGAGACAGAGAUGACUCUCUUCAGUUCGGCUGGACCACACACAGGUGUUGCAUGGCUGUCGUCAGCUCGUGCCG
rnacentral:rRNA from 1 species